rnacentral:rRNA from 1 species
GACGAACGCUGGCGGCGUGCUUAACACAUGCAAGUCGAACGGAAAGGCCCUGCUUUUGUGGGGUGCUCGAGUGGCGAACGGGUGAGUAACACGUGAGUAACCUGCCCUUGACUUUGGGAUAACUUCAGGAAACUGGGGCUAAUACCGGAUAGGAGCUCCUGCUGCAUGGUGGGGGUUGGAAAGUUUCGGCGGUUGGGGCUGGACUCGCGGCUUAUCAGCUUGUUGGUGGGGUAGUGGCUUACCAAGGCUUUGACGGGUAGCCGGCCUGAGAGGUUGACCGGCCACAUUGGGACUGAGGUACGGCCCAGACUCCUACGGGAGGCAGCAGUGGGGAAUAUUGCACAAUGGGCGGAAGCCUGAUGCAGCAACGCCGCGUGCGGGAUGACGGCCUUCGGGUUGUAAACCGCUUUCGCCUGUGACGAAGCGUGAGUGACGGUAAUGGGUAAAGAAGCACCGGCUAACUACGUG